rnacentral:lncRNA from 2 species
AGAAAAACUAGCCUGUUCAACAGUGUUAUAUGCAGUGAGCAAGCUACUGAUCGUAUUCCUUAUGCCAUUGAACUUAUCUGCUUAGAGGAAUCCACUUCAAUUUCUCUACUAUUCAACCAGAAAAUCACAGAACCUGAACAAAAUCCCAGGGAAAAUGGGGGAAGGGGAGAUAUACCUGACGAGGAAGGGAUUGAUGGGCCUCUCCUGCUUGUGCUUGGCUUGGCCCAAAGCCACGGCAGCACCGGAGGGGAAGAGCUCGGCUCUGGGGAUCUUGUGGCUGCUUACCCCUCUAAGCAAUCACUUGCUAGAGGGAGACGAUUAGGAAGGUGUGGAUUGGGAGUCAUGAAAGUUGGUGGAGGUGGAUUGGGAGGAGGGGCUGCGUGGUUGUCAGAACCUGGGAUGGAAAUGGAGGUCAUCUGA